rnacentral:misc_RNA from 1 species
GUGAAUCAUCGAAUUUUUGAACGCAUAUUGCACUCUCUGGUAUUCCGGAGAGUAUGCCUGUUUGGGGGUCAGUAUAAUCAAAAUCGGAGCGAUGCCUGUUGGUUUAAGCACCGGAGUUUGUGGCAUCUGGACUCUUUAAUACACCUAAAAUUAACAUUCUUUUUUUUCUCACUUUGAGACUUACAUAAUUUUUUUUAUUGGUCUACCCUGGUGGCAGAAAUUUUAUUAGAUCGUGAAUCACGUAGAGU